rnacentral:rRNA from 1 species
GUGGGGAAUAUUGGACAAUGGGCGCAAGCCUGAUCCAGCCAUACCGCGUGGGUGAAGAAGGCCUUCGGGUUGUAAAGCCCUUUUGUUGGGAAAGAAAUCCUGUCGGUUAAUACCUGGCGGGGAUGACGGUACCCAAAGAAUAAGCACCGGCUAACUUCGUGCCAGCAGCCGCGGUAAUACGAAGGGUGCAAGCGUUACUCGGAAUUACUGGGCGUAAAGCGUGCGUAGGUGGUGGUUUAAGUCCGUUGUGAAAGCCCUGGGCUCAACCUGGGAAUUGCAGUGGAUACUGGAUCACUAGAGUGUGGUAGAGGGAUGCGGAAUUUCUGGUGUAGCAGUGAAAUGCGUAGAGAUCAGAAGGAACAUCCGUGGCGAAGGCGACAUCCUGGGCCAACACUGACACUGAGGCACGAAAGCGUGGGGAGCAAACAGGAUUAGAUACCCUAGUAGUCC